AAUAAAAAAAAUUAAUGGUCACAUAUAUGGAAAAUGGUGGCUGGCCAUGUGCUAUUUUAGAGUGGUGUGAACCCAAUUUUAUAAAAUUCAAAUCCCAUUUAAUUAAGAAGUCAAGUGGGCAAGUGGGUAGAAAAGCACUCAAGUGUUUUGUGAUAUUUUGAAGAGUUGUGUGAGCCAUUCUAACCCCCAAAUCCGACCACUCUCCCUCCCUCAUUCACUCUCAUCUGAUUUUUGAAGACUCUCUCAAGUGUUCUCUCCAUUUUCAACCCCAAGAACACCAAAGAAACUUGGAAGCUAAGUCUUGGUCUAGGAAGGGUUUUCCCUAAGUUGGUUAGGGUUUUUGAAAGGUUUUGAAGGAGUCAAAGCUUAUAGGAAGGUCCAAACCUUAAGCAAGAACACCAAAGAGGUAAGAACAAGGGCAAGGCAGAGCAGUGAGCGCUGGAGUCUUCCUUGCAAAUGUACAUGUGGACCGACCUUUUGGGGAAGCCUUUUUAUUUUUGGAAAUGUUGUGUAAUUUUCCUAAACUAGGCUCACUCUAAUCUUUAUAAAACAUGUUUGUAACUAAAUGUUAAGUAUGGCCAUACGACUUUUUAAAAAGUUUUUUUUUUUUCUAUGGGUUUUUGAGACAUUUUGUUAAAUGAAA